UUUCAGUUGGUUGGUAUAGUG
rnacentral:piRNA from 1 species